rnacentral:rRNA from 1 species
GACGAACGCUGGCGGCGUGCCUAAUACAUGCAAGUAGAACGCUGAAGAGAGGAGCUUGCUCUUCUUGGAUGAGUUGCGAACGGGUGAGUAACGCGUAGGUAACCUGCCUUGUAGCGGGGGAUAACUAUUGGAAACGAUAGCUAAUACCGCAUAACAAUGGAUGACACAUGUCAUUUAUUUGAAAGGGGCAAUUGCUCCACUACAAGAUGGACCUGCGUUGUAUUAGCUAGUAGGUGAGGUAACGGCUCACCUAGGCGACGAUACAUAGCCGACCUGAGAGGGUGAUCGGCCACACUGGGACUGAGACACGGCCCAGACUCCUACGGGAGGCAGCAGUAGGGAAUCUUCGGCAAUGGGGGCAACCCUGACCGAGCAACGCCGCGUGAGUGAAGAAGGUUUUCGGAUCGUAAAGCUCUGUUGUAAGUCAAGAACGAGUGUGAGAGUGGAAAGUUCACACUGUGACGGUAGCUUACCAGAAAGGGACGGCUAACUACGUGCCAGCAGCCGCGGUAAUACGUAGGUCCCGAGCGUUGUCCGGAUUUAUUGGGCGUAAAGCGAGCGCAGGCGGUUUGAUAAGUCUGAAGUUAAAGGCUGUGGCUCAACCAUAGUUCGCUUUGGAAACUGUCAAACUUGAGUGCAGAAGGGGAGAGUGGAAUUCCAUGUGUAGCGGUGAAAUGCGUAGAUAUAUGGAGGAACACCGGUGGCGAAAGCGGCUCUCUGGUCUGUAACUGACGCUGAGGCUCGAAAGCGUGGGGAGCGAACAGGAUUAGAUACCCUGGUAGUCCACGCCGUAAACGAUGAGUGCUAGGUGUUGGAUCCUUUCCGGGAUUCAGUGCCGCAGCUAACGCAUUAAGCACUCCGCCUGGGGAGUACGACCGCAAGGUUGAAACUCAAAGGAAUUGACGGGGGCCCGCACAAGCGGUGGAGCAUGUGGUUUAAUUCGAAGCAACGCGAAGAACCUUACCAGAUCUUGACAUCCCGAUGCUAUUUCUAGAGAUAGAAAGUUACUUCGGUACAUCGGUGACAGGUGGUGCAUGGUUGUCGUCAGCUCGUGUCGUGAGAUGUUGGGUUAAGUCCCGCAACGAGCGCAACCCCUAUUGUUAGUUGCCAUCAUUCAGUUGGGCACUCUAGCGAGACUGCCGGUAAUAAACCGGAGGAAGGUGGGGAUGACGUCAAAUCAUCAUGCCCCUUAUGACCUGGGCUACACACGUGCUACAAUGGUUGGUACAACGAGUUGCGAGUCGGUGACGGCAAGCUAAUCUCUUAAAGCCAAUCUCAGUUCGGAUUGUAGGCUGCAACUCGCCUACAUGAAGUCGGAAUCGCUAGUAAUCGCGGAUCAGCACGCCGCGGUGAAUACGUUCCCGGGCCU